rnacentral:lncRNA from 1 species
AGUUUGCCUGUGACAUCUAAUAGUUCUGUUCUAAAUGAUCAGAAUCUCCAAACUAGUGGAUAUAUUGGUUCAAUAUCCAUGCCGUGUCAAUCAGAAUUGGUGCCUUCUCCGGACCCAACAAAUUCAUGUCAAACAGGAUUGACACCUUCUCCUGACCCUGCAAAUCCAUGUCAAACAGGAUUUAUGCCUUAUCCAGACCCUGUGAAUUCUUGUCAAACAGGAGGAUUUAUGCCGUCUCCCAACCCAGCAAAUUCAUGUCAAACAGGAUUGACGCCUUCUCCUGACCCUUCAAAUUCUUGUCAAACAGGAUUUAUGCCUUAUCCAGACCCUGUGAAUUCUUAUCAAACAGGAUUUAUGCCUGCUUCCGACCCUGCAAAUUCAUGUCAAACAGAAUUUAUGCCGUCCCCUGACCAUGCGAGUUCAUGUCAAAUAGGAUUGAUGCCUUUGCCUGACCCUGCAAAUGAUUCAUAUCCAGACAAUCAAGCUGUUAAUAAUGAUGACGACGAUAUUCUAGCAAUGCUUGAUAUUUUCAAAGGCAAUGGCGUAUUGCCUGCACCCGACCCUGCAAAUGAUUCAUAUCCAGACAAUCAAGCUGUUAAUAAUGAUGAUGAUAUUCUAGCAAUGCUUGAUAUUUUUGAAGAGAACGGCAUAUUGCCUGAGGUAUGCUAAUCUGUUUUUUCUUCCUUCUACUUAUGUUUUUCUGGAAACAGUGAAGUUUUUUUAUGUCUGGUUUUAGUGUUCUCUAUAUUUGUAGACUUGUUGUUUUAUCUAUCCCAUGCAGUUUGCAUUGUCUCCUCAUAAUGUUAAUGCCAUUUUACUAAAUCAUAGGGAUUUAUAUAGUCCUUGAUUUCUUGAAGGGAUAACUAAG